rnacentral:rRNA from 1 species
CCUACGGGAGGCUGCAGUGGGGAAUAUUGGACAAUGGGCGAAAGCCUGAUCUAGCCAUGCCGCGUGUGUGAAGAAGGCCUUCGGGUUGUAAAGCACUUUCAGUGGGGAAGAAAGCCUUGGGGCUAAUACCCUCGAGGAAGGACAUCACCCACAGAAGAAGCACCGGCUAACUCCGUGCCAGCAGCCGCGGUAAUACGGAGGGUGCGAGCGUUAAUCGGAAUUACUGGGCGUAAAGCGCGCGUAGGCGGUCUGAUAAGCCGGUUGUGAAAGCCCCGGGCUCAACCUGGGAACGGCAUCCGGAACUGUCAGGCUAGAGUGCAGGAGAGGAAGGUAGAAUUCCCGGUGUAGCGGUGAAAUGCGUAGAGAUCGGGAGGAAUACCAGUGGCGAAGGCGGCCUUCUGGACUGACACUGACGCUGAGGUGCGAAAGCGUGGGUAGCAAACAGGAUUAGAUACCCCGGUAGUC